GACGAACGCUGGCGGCGUGCCUAAUACAUGCAAGUUGAGCGCUGAAGGUUGGUACUUGUACCAACUGGAUGAGCAGCGAACGGGUGAGUAACGCGUGGGGAAUCUGCCUUUGAGCGGGGGACAACAUUUGGAAACGAAUGCUAAUACCGCAUAAAAACUUUAAACACAAGUUUUAAGUUUGAAAGAUGCAAUUGCAUCACUCAAAGAUGAUCCCGCGUUGUAUUAGCUAGUUGGUGAGGUAAAGGCUCACCAAGGCGAUGAUACAUAGCCGACCAGAGAGGGUGAGCGGCCACAUUGAGACUGAGACACGGCCCAAACGCCUACGGGAGGCAGCAGUAGGGAAUCUUCAGCAAUGGACGAAAGUCUGACCGAGCAACGCCGCGUGAGUGAAGAAGGUUUUCGGAUCGUAAAACUCUGUUGGUAGAGAAGAACGUUGGUGAGAGUGGAAAGCUCAUCAAGUGACGGUAACUACCCAGAAAGGGACGGCUAACUACGUG
rnacentral:rRNA from 1 species